UGAAGACUAUACAAAUAAUGCAACAACAGAUGGGACAAAUGGCCACCUCCAUAAACAGGUUGGAAGCUCAAGGAAAGUUGCCAUCCCAAACUGAGACAAAUCCCAAACAAAAUGUUAGUGCCAUCACUUUGAGAAGUGGAAGAGAGCUUGAAGAGGCCAAGACUGAUGAAAGAACACCUCCUGCGCAAUCUGAAAGGGAGAUCUAUGCGCAAGAACCAACUGCAG
rnacentral:lncRNA from 1 species